CAUUCAGACACACAUUCGGACACACUUGUGCAGGACUCACAAUAGGACAGACAGACAUUGUGGUGUAGUGUGUUAUCGUUUCCAUUUAGACGUCACUACACUGAGGUCUGGACUCUUCACACUGAGGUCUGGGCUCUUACAUUGAGGUCUAGACUCUUCACACUGAGGUCUGGACUCUUCACACUGAGGUCUGGACUCUUCACACACUGGAGUCUGGACUCUUCACACUGAGGUCUGGACUCUUCACACACUGAGGUCUGGACUCUUCACACUGAGGUCUGGACUCUUCACACU